AGGUCAAGCUACAAAGAGCGUAGAGUGAAUGCCUUGGCAUCAAGAGCCGAUGAAGGACGUGGUAAGCU
rnacentral:rRNA from 1 species